rnacentral:rRNA from 1 species
GAUGAACGCUGGCGGCAGGCCUAACACAUGCAAGUCGAGCGGUAACAGAAAGUAGCUUGCUACUUUGCUGACGAGCGGCGGACGGGUGAGUAAUGCUUGGGAACAUGCCUUGAGGUGGGGGACAACAGUUGGAAACGACUGCUAAUACCGCAUAAUGUCUACGGACCAAAGGGGGCUUCGGCUCUCGCCUUUAGAUUGGCCCAAGUGGGAUUAGCUAGUUGGUGAGGUAAUGGCUCACCAAGGCAACGAUCCCUAGCUGGUUUGAGAGGAUGAUCAGCCACACUGGAACUGAGACACGGUCCAGACUCCUACGGGAGGCAGCAGUGGGGAAUAUUGCACAAUGGGCGAAAGCCUGAUGCAGCCAUGCCGCGUGUGUGAAGAAGGCCUUCGGGUUGUAAAGCACUUUCAGUCAGGAGGAAAGGGUGUGAGUUAAUACCUCAUAUCUGUGACGUUACUGACAGAAGAAGCACCGGCU